rnacentral:rRNA from 1 species
GACGAACGCUGGCGGCGUGCUUAACACAUGCAAGUCGAACGGAAAGGCCCUGCUUGCAGGGUACUCGAGUGGCGAACGGGUGAGUAACACGUGGGUGAUCUGCCCUGCACUUCGGGAUCAGCCUGGGAAACUGGGUCUAAUACCGGAUAUGAGCCAUUUUUAGUGUGAUGGUUGGAAAGUUUUUUCGGUGUAGGAUGAGCUCGCGGCCUAUCAGCUUGUUGGUGGGGUAAUGGCCUACCAAGGCGGCGACGGGUAGCCGGCCUGAGAGGGUGGACGGCCACAAUGGGGCUGAGAUUCGGCCCAGACUCCUACGGGAGGGAGCAGGGGGGAAUAUUGCACAAUGGGCGCAAGCCUGAUGCAACGACGCCGCGUGGGGGAUGACGGCCUUCGGGUUGUAAACUCCUUUCGCGAGGGACGAAGCUUUUUGUGACGGUACCUAGAAAAGGAGCAACGGCUAACUACGUG